rnacentral:misc_RNA from 1 species
GAGAAGAUAAGUUUAAUGUAUUUCCCUUCAAGCAGGAAACAAGAAAUGAACUCAACAGGAAAACAAGUUCAUUGUCUGAUAUAAAGCAGAAGGUUCAAGCUAACAGUUUACUUAUUUAUUUUAGCUCUUUGAAAAUAUGCAAGGAAUUCAUGCCAUGACAGCUGAAGAACAUGGAUACCUUUAAUAGACAAAUGGAAAAUGAUUAACAACUUGAAAGAUGUUUCAAACUCAAAUUAUCAUUCAAGAUGAACAUCUUA